UACGUAGGGGCCUAGCGUUGUCCGGAUUUAUUGGGCGUAAAGAACUCGUAGGCGGUUUGGUGAGUCGGGUGUGAAAACCCGCGGCUUAACCGUGGGCUUGCAGCCGAUACGGGCAGGCUAGAGUUCGGUAGGGGAGACUGGAAUUCCUGGUGUAGCGGUGAAAUGCGCAGAUAUCAGGAGGAACACCGGUGGCGAAGGCGGGUCUCUGGGCCGACACUGACGCUGAGGCGCGAAGGCGUGGGGAGCGAACGGG
rnacentral:rRNA from 1 species